UACAGAGGUCUCAAGCGUUGUUCGGAUUCAUUGGGCGUAAAGGGUGCGUAGGCGGAUUGUAAGUCAGGGGUGAAAUCCCGGGGCUCAACCUCGGAACUGCCUUUGAUACUGCAAAUCUCGAGUCCGGAAGAGGUGAGUGGAAUUCCUAGUGUAGAGGUGAAAUUCGUAGAUAUUAGGAAGAACACCAGUGGCGAAGGCGGCUCACUGGCCCGGUACUGGACGCUGAGGCGCGAAAGCGUGGGGA
rnacentral:rRNA from 1 species